UACAGAGGGUGCAAGCGUUGUUCGGAAUUACUGGGCGUAAAGGGCGCGUAGGCGGCCAUCUAAGUCGAACGUGAAAUCCCCGGGCUCAACCCGGGAACUGCGUCCGAUACUGGUUGGCUUGAAUCCGGGAGAGGGAUGCGGAAUUCCAGGUGUGGCGGUGAAAUGCGUAGAUAUCUGGAGGAACACCGGUGGCGAAGGCGGCAUCCUGGACCGGCAUUGACGCUGAGCCGCGAAAGCCAGGGGAGCGAACGGG
rnacentral:rRNA from 1 species